rnacentral:rRNA from 1 species
GAUGAAUGCUGGCGGCGUGCCUAACACAUGCAAGUCGAGCGGCAGCGAGGGGUGCUUGCACCCUGUCGGCGAGCGGCGAACGGCUGAGUAACGCGUAGGAAUUUGCCCCAAAGUGAGGAAUAACUGCCCGAAAGGGUAGCUAAUGCCGCAUAUGGUCUUCGGAUUAAAGGAUUUAUCCGCUUUGGGAGAAGCCUGCGUUGGAUUAGGUUGUUGGUAGGGUAAUGGCCUACCAAACCGACGAUCCAUAGCUGGUCUGAGAGGAUGAUCAGCCAGACUGGAACUGAGACACGGUCCAGACUCCUACGGGAGGCAGCAGUGAGGAAUCUUCCACAAUGGGCGAAAGCCUGAUGGAGCAACGCCGCGUGAAGGAUGAAGGCCUUCGGGUUGUAAACUUCUUUUAUGAGUGAAGAAUAUGACGGUAACUCAUGAAUAAGCACCGGCUAACUACGUG